UACGUAGGGUGCAAGCGUUGUCCGGAAUUAUUGGGCGUAAAGAGCUUGUAGGCGGUUUGUCGCGUCUGCUGUGAAAUUUCGGGGCUCAACCCCGAACUUGCAGUGGGUACGGGCAGACUAGAGUGUGGUAGGGGAGACUGGAAUUCCUGGUGUAGCGGUGAAAUGCGCAGAUAUCAGGAGGAACACCGAUGGCGAAGGCAGCUUCUGGGACGGUACUGACGCUGAGACGCGAAAGCGUGGGGAGCGAACAGG
rnacentral:rRNA from 1 species